rnacentral:misc_RNA from 1 species
AAGUCGUAACAAGGUUUCCGUAGGUGAACCUGCGGAAGGAUCAUUAAAGAUUCACGGCUGUGCGCUUCGGCUGCACGUCGUAUAAACCUCACACACAUCGUGCACAACCUCGGUCGCGGUCUUAAUCGACCGCCUCCGCCUUUCACAUGCAACAAGCAGUCCAGAAUGUAAAAACCAUAACAAAAUACAACUUUCAACAACGGAUCUCUUGGCUCUC